CUGGUUUGAUCUCCUUGCAGUCCAGAGUUCUGUCCAGUCUUCUCCAGCUCACCACCCUACUUUAGGAACUCAUAACCUGAUGAUAGACGCAGUUACAGUAACAAAGAAGCUUGCAAAGGAAACAGUGGAAAGGGGCAAGUCCUUACAGAGUGUAAAGGGGA
rnacentral:lncRNA from 1 species